rnacentral:ribozyme from 1 species
ACACUUUGGGAUAUUUGACUUUCUUCUCUUCUCUUCUCUUUUUUUUUUCUUUUUUGUCCAUCGAAAGAUCGUUUCAAGUUUUUGGAAGAAGAAGGAUGG